UACGGAGACUGCGAGCGUUACUCGGAUCCACUGGGCGUAAAGGGUGCGUAGGCGGCUAGAUGUGUCAGGUGUGAAAGCCUGGAGCUUAACUCCAGAAUUGCGCCUGAAACUAUUUAGCUAGAGUCUCGGAGAGGUAAGUGGAAUUCCUAGUGUAGCGGUGAAAUGCGUAGAUAUUAGGAGGAACACCAAAGGCGAAGGCAGCUUACUGGACGAGAACUGACGCUGAGGCACGAAAGCGUGGGGAGCGAAAGGG
rnacentral:misc_RNA from 1 species